GAUGAACGCUGGCGGCGUGCCUAAUACAUGCAAGUCGAGCGAACAGAUAAGGAGCUUGCCCCUUUGACGUUAGCGGCGGACGGGUGAGUAACACGUGGGUAACCUACCUAUAAGACUGGAAUAACUCCGGGAAACCGGGGCUAAUGCCGGAUAACAUUUAGAACCGCAUGGUUCUAAAGUGAAAGAUGGUUUUGCUAUCACUUAUAGGUGGACCCGCGCCGUAUUAGCUAGUUGGUAAGGUAACGGCUUACCAAGGCAACGAUACGUAGCCGACCUGAGAGGGUGAUCGGCCACACUGGAACUGAGACACGGUCCAGACUCCUACGGGAGGCAGCAGUAGGGAAUCUUCCGCAAUGGGCGAAAGCCUGACGGAGCAACGCCGCGUGAGUGAUGAAGGUCUUCGGAUCGUAAAACUCUGUUAUUAGGGAAGAACAAAUGUGUAAGUAACUGUGCACGUCUUGACGGUACCUAAUCAGAAAGCCACGGCUAACUACGUG
rnacentral:rRNA from 1 species